CGGGGGCUAUCUUCGCCUCACCCUGGCACCUCCUCUUGGGUGCCUUCCGGGGACUGGGGAACUGCGCGCGGGUGGCUGUCCAUCUUGUCUACCUGCCCAGCAGGUGCGGGGCCUGCAGCAGCUCACCCAGCCCCCUGUGCUGUGUCCGGUCCGGUGUCCCUUUCAUGUGGGGCCUGGCCCUCCCGGGGACAGCGCACUCCGUCCUCGAGCUGCCCCUCUGCAAUGGUCACAGGAAAGACACGCCAGCUCCCUCCUUCUCAGAGAGACCUGAGGCCCGUGGAGAGGCUGGCCUGGGGUCGCACAGAGCCUGGCUGGUGGGACCCACACUGGCCGAGGAGCCGGCCUGAGCCUCGGAAAGGGGAUGCUGAAGGCUUUCUCACUCCACAGCCUGCCCAGAACCAAUAGGCUCUCCAGCCUCUUGGGUACCUUGGCUCCAGCUGCUGUUUCUUCUGCCUGGAAAGCUGUUUUCCUUUAUUCAAAGCACAACCAACAACGAUUUAUUGAGUUCUUUUUUGUUGAGUGCCAUUGAGUCCAUUCCAACUCCUAGUGCCCCUGUGUCCAGCAGAGGGGAACCUUGCCUGGUCUUUCUGUGCCAUCCUCUCACCUUCCAGCACUCUAUCAGAUGAUGCUCCACUGCUAUUCACAGGGUUCUCAUGGCCAGUUUUUUUCAGAAUUAGGCGGCCAGGUCCUUCUUCCUAGUCUGUCUUAGUCUGGAAGCUCUGCUGAAACCCAUCCACCAUGGGUGACGCUGCUGGGAUUUGAAAUAGCGGUGGCAUAGCUUUCAUGGUGGCACAGCAACAUGCAACCACCACAGUGUGAAAAAUGACAGACAGUUGGCGUGGUUCCUGACCAAAAACAAACACGGGCCACAGUGGUGAGAGUGCCAAGUCUUGACUACUGGACCACCGGGGCUGGCUAUUGAGCACUUACCCUGUGCUUAUUCAGGGUCUUACAUUCUAGAAGGGAGGCAGAUAAACGUUCGAAUACAGAGGAAGAAAAAUAAAGCGGAUCGUGCUCCCUGCCAGGUAGAGUUACGGAGGAGGGCGUGCCUGGGUAUGAGGGUGCCCUACAGCAGGGAGGUCAGGAGGCUGCCCUGAGGACCUGCAAUCUCAAUGACGAGAUGGGGACCAGUGACGCAGAGGCCAGAGAAGGUCAUGCUGGGCAAGGAGAAGCGCAGGGCAAAGGUCCUGAGGUGGGACUGAGUCUGGUCGCCAGAGGGAUGGCGAGUGGUGGGUCUGGAGCUUCAGGUGUGGGCAUGGAAGGGGGGACACAUGAACACCCAGGGGUGCUUCCCGGGAAUGAGGGAGAACCAGCAGGUGGCUCUGUGUCUCUAGACUCAGCUGGCCUGUCUGAGCACUGGGUCCAUCACAGCCCUGUUCCCAGGUAUCAAAGCUGGAGAGCCAUCAUGGCGACAGGCAGACAUCUCUACUCAAGCAGCUGGGGGACCGUUGUAGAAGAGAGUGGACCUCUGAGACGUGGUCCCUGCGAGGAGAAUUGGAUCUAUUGUGGGAGAGGGGUUCUAGGCGUGUUUAACGGUCACAGCUAUUCAGAGAUGAGAAGAGUCACCGUGAGAGGUGGUGAGCUGCUCAUCGCUGGCAGAGUCCAAGGGGAGCUAUGCUUGGAGUCAGAGUCUGGUGGCACACUGACCCUGGUGACAGAGCACAGGGGUCUUGGCUACUGGAGGGGGUGGGACUAGCUGACAUGGGGGUCUCCCAGAGCGGUCUCUGUGUUGCUGGGUGUGGAAGCACGUCGGUGCUGGAGAAAGGUGCGCGCUCCCGCAGACUUGGCCUUCGGGUGGUCUGGGCAAGACUGCAGAGUUGACUCCCAGCUCGGGGCUGGAAUGUGCCCCGGGCUGGACAAAUUUUGUCACUUGAUUGAUUUCUUCCCGGCCCUAGAGGCAAGUGAAGGGAAGAUUCUUGAUUUGAGGAGACCAAAUUAGGAACAGAUGUCUUUUCAAGCUAUUAAUAGGUGGCCGGGGAACAAGGGGCCUCAUUUUUAAAUGCGCCCACGGCGGGCCUGGUGCCGCUGCCCACUGGAAUGUUUUGCGUCGGGGUAUUUCAUAGUCUUGGUGGUGGAGAGUCGUUUCUGGGAGUCGCCAAGCCCCCGAUGCUCC
ensembl:lncRNA